GAUGAACGCUGGCGGCGUGCUUAACACAUGCAAGUCGAACGGGAUCCCGGGGGUUCGCUUCCGGGUGAGAGUGGCGAACGGGUGAGUAAUGCGUGACCGACCUGCCCCAUACACCGGAAUAGCUCCUGGAAACGGGUGGUAAUGCCGGAUGCUCCGGUUGGAUGCAUGUCCUUCCGGGAAGGAUUCUAUCGGUAUGGGAUGGGGUCGCGUCCUAUCAGCUUGAUGGCGGGGUAACGGCCCACCAUGGCUUCGACGGGUAGCCGGCCUGAGAGGGCGACCGGCCACAUUGGGACUGAGAUACGGCCCAGACUCCUACGGGAGGCAGCAGUGGGGAAUAUUGCACAAUGGGCGCAAGCCUGAUGCAGCGACGCCGCGUGCGGGAUGGAGGCCUUCGGGUUGUAAACCGCUUUUGAUCGGGAGCAAGCCCUUCGGGG
rnacentral:rRNA from 1 species